GCCAGGAUAAUCCAUCAGAUGGAUUUGAUAUUUUGAAAUACAAUGUGGAUAACCUGAUCAGAGUUGACAGUUGAACUCUGGAGUGUCCUACAAUCAUUUUGGUCAAGGGGAUGAAUUAUAUAAAAACAUAUCCGCAUGGGUUCUAAGGAUGUUGUUCUACACAUUCGAUCUAUCCGAUCGUCAGGUACCAUUGCUAGAUGGUCACUUCGAUUGGUACAGGAAUUUAUUUCUAUACUACCGACUUAGGUUCAGACCUAUGAGGUCACACACAUUAGAGUUCAUGAUCCGAUCGGAUGGUUGAUCAACGAUUAAGAAUCAUUCUAGGGUUAAAUGAUCAAUACGAUUGACAUUUAACCCAGUGCAAGUGUUGCAGGAGGAUCGAUUAGCAAUUCAAU
rnacentral:lncRNA from 1 species